UACGGAGGGUGCAAGCGUUGUCCGGAAUCACUGGGCGUAAAGGGCGCGUAGGCGGCUCAUGAAGGCUGUGGUGAAAGUCCGGGGCUCAACCUCGGAUCGGCCGUGGCGACUCGUGGGCUGGAGCACUGUAGAGGCGGGUGGAAUUCCGGGUGUAGCGGUGGAAUGCGUAGAGAUCCGGAAGAACACCAGUGGCGAAGGCGGCCCGCUGGGGCAGUGCUGACGCUGAGGCGCGACAGCGUGGGGAGCAAACAGG
rnacentral:rRNA from 1 species